rnacentral:rRNA from 1 species
AUUGAACGCUGGCGGCAGGCCUAACACAUGCAAGUCGAACGAGUGGCGGACGGGUGCGUAAGGUCGGGGAAACUGCCUGAGGGAGGGGGAUAACUACUGGAAAAGGUAGCUAAUAUCGCAUACCACCGGAUGAGCCCAGAUGGGAUUAGCUAGUUGGUGGGGUAACGGCUCACCUAGGCGACGAUCCCUAGCUGGUCUGAGAGGAUGACCAGCCACACUGGAACUGGGACACGGUCCAGACUCCUACGGGAGGCAGCAUUGGGGAAUAUUGCACAAUGGGCGCAAGCCUGAUGCAGCCAUGCCGCGUGUAUGAAGAAGGCCUUCGGGUUGUAAAGUACUUUCAGCGGGGAGGCGUUACCCGCAGAAGAAGCACCGGCUAACUCCGUGCCAGCAGCCGCGGUAAUUC